GCGGUCUCGCAGCGUGCACAGAUUCCUGCCGGAUCCCUUCCUCUCGCACCGAGCUUCUCACUCACCCCCAGAGGAGCGCUACGGCCCGGCGUUCUGGGACAGACUCAUCAGGCAGCCGAGUGUUCCCGUUAUGAGAGAAAUAAAUGAACCUUCAGGCCUGAUGUGCAGUUACCCCGCGUGCAGGUCAGACACAGACUGGGGCAGUUUACCUGCCCCCAGCUUAGACAUCCUUCCCUCCCCUUCUGAAUUAUGCGGAAGACGAAAGAGAAGGAAUAAAAGUCGUGGCGGCAGCGAGAGAAGAGUGCUGUCCGUCUGUCACCAUCUCCAGGAGCUGAGGAGC